GUGACGAAGCCAGCAUGAUGGCAAUGACAUGGGAGGUAGCCCAGGGCUGGGUUAUAUGCUGGGGACCAAUGUGUCCCAUGCUGUCAAGAGCUCAGCAGAGAGUUCUGUUUAAUGGAGUGUGGGAGAUGAGGUAGAAGGAACAGUUGUAGGACUGGAGGACAAGCUGAGUAGAAUCAGAAACAGAAAAAAGAACAGGGUUGGGGUAGAAAUGAUAAUAAUAAUUUCUCCUUUAGGCAUAAAGAGUUGGAGCUGUUUAUGGGACACACAGACUUCGAUGCCUUGCAAACAGCUGGACAGGUGGGACAUCAGGAGGGUUCCUCCAUGUGAAGCAGAGAAAAUCAAAGUUCUCCUCUCUUAUAACUGUCCAUUGUUUUAG
rnacentral:lncRNA from 1 species